UGAAGGUCUAAAGUAGCCUCAACAGCACUCUGCAGGGUAGAACCAUGGUGUAGCCGGAGUACACAGCUAGCUUCUGUCCUCUUGGUACAUUGACUUCAAUACAAAACCUGGAAGCCUCCACUACUAGGAUUACUCACUUCAAGUUGGACGAGGAGUUCUUCUCCAAUGACUCGGACGCGAGGGAUAUACUACGGACACCCGACCAGGCCCAGAUCCCCAUGAUUCGCUUUAAAAGGAAACGUAGGUUUCGCGGAAAGAGAUGGAUCAGGCAAUGAGUAGCUAAUCUGCCCUUGCCAUCCGUUCUGCUAGCUAACGUUCAAUCGCUGGAAAAUAAAUGGGACGAACUGAAAGCACGUAUAUCCUACCAACGGGACAGUAAAAACGGUAAUAUCUUGUUUCACCAAGUUGUGACUCAACAACGACAUUAAGAACAUACAGUUGGCGGGUUAUACACUAUCGGCAGGACAGAACAGCAGCCUCUGGGCUCCAGCAUCAUGAACAGUGGCCGACCUACACACAUCAAACAGGGCUCAGUCUUCUGGCAGUAGAUAAUCCCCAUUCCUUCUUCCCUGCAAGCAUUCCAAAUGAAAUCAAAUAAUUGUUGGCAACAAAGAGCAAAGCACCUUGACAGAACUAAGGUAUAAAGAACUGAAGAAAGCGUCCAAAAUUGCUGACCGUUGUCUUCAACAUAAUCUUCUCACGUUCUUAACUAGUUGCCACAAAGUGAGAAGCCCCGCCUACUCAACCAAUCAGAUGAGGCAGUGUGAUGAUGUGUAUGCCCCCACCCAGUUUACAGGGGCAGACGAGGGACAUUCAUUUAUUUUAUCUAGUUAUCCAGAAAUGUGGUUAUUUAUUAGCUAUAAUAAAACCACCGUUGUAAAUGCAAAGUUGUAAUCAGUUGUCUUAUUCAAGCUUAGCUUGCAAGUUUAUCAUGAUGUUUGUCCUUACUCAGUUAUACUUGUAUUAACCCAAAAGAGUUUUCUCCAAUAUCUCCAUUGUUUUUAAAAUGGCAUGCAAACAAAGAAAUCGAGACAACUUGAUUUUAUUUUGAUUUUCAAAUAAAAG
ensembl:lncRNA